GCCUACGGGGGGCAGCAGUGAGGAAUAUUGGUCAAUGGGCGCGAGCCUGAACCAGCCAAGUCGCGUGAGGGAAGACGGUCCUAUGGAUUGUAAACCUCUUUUGUCGGAGAGCAAAAGACGCCACGCGUGGCGUUCCGAGAGUACCCGAAGAAAAAGCAUCGGCUAACUCCGUGCCAGCAGCCGCGGUAAUACGGAGGAUGAGAGCGUUAUCAGGAUAUAUUGGGUUUAAAGGGUGCGCAGGCGGAAGAUCAAGACAGCGGUAAAAUUGAG
rnacentral:rRNA from 1 species